CCCUGGGGCUCAGCCGAUGAGGACAGGGCCAGAGCAGAAGUCUAGCAGGUCUCACUGUGUAUUUUGGCUUUUUAAAGUUCCACCUCUAAUCCAAAGGGAGGAAAGAAACAUUUGUGAAGUCAAGCAGACAAGAAAAGGAGAGCUGAAACAAUGCAGAUCUAAGUGACCUAGAAAGAAUGAUCUCCCGCACCAUUUUUUUCUACCAUUCCACAGAAUAGCAGUAGACGAAACUGAAAGGCAGAGAACUGGGUAUCUCAAGGACAGGGUGUAUAGAAUUGCAACUGAACACAACACCUUUAGACCAGCAGCUCAAAGAAAACAAUUCUCACAGCAACUAUGACACUGAAGACUAUUCAACCCUCUUCCUCAAGAGCCUUGGUUUUAGCUUUGUACAACUCUGGCAAAAAUGAGGUCAGAAACCUGGUUUAACACAGAAGACACUUCUCAGAGGCUAAAGGGGGAAGGGACUCAAAAGGCACUCGUCACCCUUCUCCACGGAGGACAUCCCCUUUGACCGCCAAAGCCCAGCCUGGCAGCGAUCGCUCUGGCCGAGCCAGCAGCCGAUGCUAAGCCCCUGAGCAGCAGCACGUCCCUCUGCCCCGCACCUCACGGACGACAACAAGGAAUUCUCCUACUUCUUCUUGUUUAACGGGGGAUUAUUUUUAACUUGGAUCCUUUCCCAGACCCAGCUCAGAGCAUGACUACACAACGCUUAUGUCAGCACAAGGAAGCCAUCUAAUGAGCACCCAUGAGGGGGGCAGGAUCGCUGCCAUCGCUAUCCUCACCACCUUAAUGAGCUUGUAAAACAACAGCCCAUAGACAGCAGGUUAAAAAGUCACAGAGCUUCAGUAAAUUGAGGAUGGCACAUACAGAACCAAAAAAAUAAAAACCAAAACUCAUACACACAGGUUGCCUAGCCACUGCCAUGUCAAGCUGCCAAAACACAGCAAAAGCACAGGGCCCUCCACUGAGGAAAAGCAACCCUGCAAUCAGCUCCACCAAAACCCCAAUGCAGAAGGGCUCCUGACACACACCCACGGAAAAUCUUGGUCAUUACUACUUCCUAAAUAGGACACGCAAAGAAAACCCACAGCAUGUAAAGCACUGGUAUCUCAAAAUGACCUUUCUCUUAUCUCUUUGGCUAGGCAUGCUCUCUCUGCCCUGCUCUGUCCCCAGAGAGACACCAAACAGCCCGGCCCCAACUCAAGGAGGAAGCAUAAAAGCAAAAGAGAAGGGAAGGUGAACAGAUCAAACAAUUCUCCUUCCUCAUGACCUGUGGGUGCAAACCCAUCACAACACAUUGUGUAACCUUAAACACAUGUUAAAAUGGAGACAGAAAUCCAUGAGUACUGCUUCUGGUGUUUAUGCUGACCAGUGCAUUAUUACUGCUCUGUUGGCAAUCAGUGAAUCUGUCAUGAAAAAAAAGGAUGUGUUGGGUUUGCUAUUGAUCCUUAUAAUUCCUGUCUGAGAAUAAUCAUACCAUCUUGAAAUAUAGCCCAAGAGAGCACUGUUAUUCCGGAACUGAGCUGCUUUUGGAAGAUGAGUAAAAAGCAGUUACAUGCUCUUAGAUAUCUUCUUGAGGUUGCAGACAAUUGUUCCUGGCUUUACAGACACAUUUUCUGAUCCUUUAAGAAUUCUCUUUCCCCUACAGCUGAAAGAGCCACACACAAAUAAAGAAAAAUCUGGCUAUCCCAAGAAAUCAUGUAACUGACUAUACACAGAGGGCUGUCAGGUAGGCACAAAAUAAACUAACCGAAAUAAUAUGAUCUUUUCUCCCUCUAAUAUCCUUCAUUUAUAGUCACUGUCAGUGUGACAACCAAGAACAGUAAGUGGAAUGAUUUCAUGCACGAUUUCAUAUCUCAAUAUUUCAUUAAUAUUGAGAUAUUCUAUAUCCACUUGUGCAGCAGACAGUUUCUAUCACUUAUGUUGUAUUAGGGCAACAGAGUAAGGCACCUCAAAUGAAGCCUGGAACAGUAACCAUUCCCUCUAACCAGAGCUAAAACCCAGACUAACAGACUGUGGCAAUUGCCAAAUCACCUCUUUCUCCUCACUGAAGUCUGGACAUCACCAGUGGAUGGGGAGGCAGAAGCACAAGCCUCUGAUGGCAUCCAAAACUGCCCUCAAAAAUGCAUAUGAAAACACGUAUUCCAAGCAUGGCUAGAACAAAAGUACUAAACAAAACAUAUGAUGCUAAUCCAAGUGUUACAACAAAUUGUCCAUUGUAGCUGGAAAACAGAGAAACACAGGCCUGAAAAGGGAUCAGAACAAUACUGACUUGAAAAUUGUUAAGGGUUCUUGUUAAGUGUACAUUCUAGCCUAUUCAUAAAGCAGGUUUUUUUUGAAGGUAAGAAAAAAUAUGAAAAAACAGGUUAACAAAUGAAAUGUAAAGAGUAAGGAAAAAGCAAAGAUAUAACCCAGAAGAAAGCUGAGCUAAGAAAUACACAAAUAUUUUGCGUGCAUAUGUGUGUGAAAUUUAACAUAAUUCCUAAUUCUAGGUAUCCUGGAAUAUACCUGUCUGUUUUCCAGACCUGAGUUUCAGAAGUUUACUACUUUUUCACAAAUGGAUUCAGAAGGACUGUGGUCUCUAACAGUGAAGUUCUGUCCUCCAUCGCACACAUGUUUCCACUGACUCCAACCAGCCUAAAGUUAACUAUAAAUACAACGGAAAGUCAAAUACAAAGGUAGCUUGUUGCCUAUUUUUUCCCUGUUUUAUGAUGUGCUAUUAGGCUAUGAAUAUAAAAUACUUUUUUUUUUUUUUAUUAACGGCUAGGACAAACAAAGCCUCUAAUAUUUUACAAACCUAAUUGAUGCAAAAUACUCGAUAUGUAUUCUAGGUCUCUGUUUUUCUGACUUCUGUUCAUUCCAUUAAUGCUUUCAACAGGUUAUUAAAAAGCACAGUCUUGCUAAUUUACUGUAAUGUUUAGGAUACCUACUCUAAAUUUAUGGAAGAAAUCAAUAAAUUGAUCAAUCAACAAAAAGAAACAGAAAAGUGACGAAACAUU